rnacentral:rRNA from 1 species
GCCAGUAGUCAUAUGCUUGUCUCAAAGAUUAAGCCAUGCAUGUGUAAGUAUAAGUAUUGUACAGCGAAACUGCGAAUGGCUCAUUACAUCAGUUAUAGUUUAUUUGAUAUUUGAAAGUUACAUGGAUAACCGUGGCAAUUCUACAGCUAAUACAUGCUUCAAAACCUGACUUCGGAAGGGUUGUAUUUAUUAGAUAUUAAACCAUCCCCUCGGGGCUGUGAUGAAUCAUAAUAACUGAUCGAAUCGAGGUUCGCCUUGAUAAAUCAUUCAAGUUUCUGCCCUAUCAGCUGUAGAUGGUAGUGUAUUGGACUACCAUGGCUAUUACGGGUAACGGAGAAUUAGGGUUCGAUUCCGGAGAGGGGAGCCUGAGAAACGGCUACCACAUCUACGGAUGGCAGCAGGCGCGAAAAUUGCCCAAUCCCGAUUCGGGGAGGCAGUGACAAGAAAUACAACCCAGAACAUUGUUCCGGGAUUGCAAUGAGAACAAUUUAAAACCUAUCGAGUACCAACUGGG